AAUCAUGGACACUUUGUUAACAUUCGGUUCUAGAUAACUUGAAGUAAUUUAAUUAAAACCUGCCAACUGUGUGCGUAACCGUGACUGUUUCCUUCAGAGUUUCUUCUCUGAUCGAGAACAUGGUGGGGUUAUGAAUGACAUAAGUAGGUGUUCAGGAUAACUUAGUGAUUAUUCUUAGUUCACGACCAUCAUGCGUAGACCACCAUAUCUUUACUUCUUGUUCAACGUAAGUUAGCCACCAUAAAUGCUUAGGUUGCCGCAAACUCAAACACAUACCCCAUCCUCACCAAAUGACUUAGUUAGAUUCGAUACCAAGGUCAUGAGAUUGCCGAGUCCUUGUGGCUCACAGAUUACUACAAAAACCCACAGGUACAGGUACCCCAGAUGCAAACGCUUCCGAGGAUACCCAGCUGAAGUGGGAGUUUGACGAGGACAGUGGCCGGCUGUACGUGACGUACCCCGAGGACUAGAGGCACUUGGUCGUGAUCAUGGUCCUAACAAGGAGGGAUAGCAUUAGCUUUUGUCGUUUAUCUUGUCCGUAGACGGACCAUGUUUUCUAUCUGAAUAAUGAAUGAUUGUGUGGAACUAUAAUUUAGCUUGUGGCGAAUGUAAGACGAAUCUUAUUACUCUUCAAUCUAUUAGUGAAUGCAAUGUUUAUCC
rnacentral:lncRNA from 1 species